AAUGAACGCUGGCGGUAUGCCUAACACAUGCAAGUCGAACGGCAGCACAGUGAGAGCUUGCUCUUACUUGUAGCUAGUGGCGGACGUGGUAGCAAUACAUCGGAAUCUACUUUUUCGUGCUGCAUAACGUAGGGAAACUGACUCUAAUACCCCAUACUACCUACAGAUGAAACCAUCGUAACGUCUCACCUUACUGUUAUAAAUAAGCCGAUGUCGGAUUAGCUAGUGUGCGGGUUGAAGGCCGACCAGGUCGCCGCUCCGUAGCUGGUCGGAGAGGAUGAUCAGGCACACUGGAAGUGAGACACGGUCCAGACUCCUGAGGGAGGAAGCAGUGGGGAAUCUUGGACAAUGGGGGAAAGCCUGAUACAGCAAUACCGAGUGAGUGAAGAAGGACUUAGGGUUGUAAAGCGAUUUUGUUGGGAAAGAAAAGAAGCAGGUUAAUACGCCGAUGUUAUGACGGUACCAAAAGAAUAAGCCCCGGCUAACUUCGUG
rnacentral:rRNA from 1 species